UGUAGAUCUUUAGAUUUGGGGACUGCUGUGCUUUUUUAUCAGUCGGCUUUCCCUUUUUUUAAUAUUAUUCAAGGUCUAUAUGACUUUCACAAUCUCAUAAAUGUCGAAUGUAUGUUAAAAUGAAACAAAUAUAUACAACUUUCAGCAACGGAUCUCUUGGCUCUCGCAUCGAUGAAGAACGCAGCGAAAUGCGAUAAGUAAUGUGAAUUGCAGAAUUCAGUGAAUCAUCGAAUUUUUGAACGCAUCUUGCGCUCCUUGGUAUUCCAAGGAGCAUGCCUGUUUGAGUGUCAUCAAGUUCUCAACCACAUAAUUUUUGUGGCUUGGAUCGGUGGGGUGUUGCCGGCUGUUAUGGUAGGCUCUCCUUAAAUACAUAAGUGGUAUUUAGAAAAGCUACUUGUUGGGUGUUAUAAAUUGAUAAUACACCUUCUGGCAAUUCUACUAUGCUGCUUCUAACACUUUGUUUUUGAUGAUUUUGACCUCAAAUCAGGUAGGACUACCCGCUGAACUUAAGCAUAUCAAUAAGCGGAGGA
rnacentral:rRNA from 1 species